GAAUUUUGGACAAUGGGCGAAAGCCUGAACCAGCAAAGCCGCGUGCAGGAUGAAGGCUUUCGGGUUGUAAACUGCUUUUGUACGGAACGAAAAGAUUUGGGUUAAUAUCCUGGCGUCAUGACGAUACCGUAAGCAUAAGCACCGGCUAACUACGUGCCAGCAGCCGCGGUAUUACGUAGGGUGCAAGCGUUAAUCGGAAUUACUGGGCGUAAAGCGUGCGCAGGCGUUUUUGUAAGACAGAGGUGAAGUCCCCGGGCUCAACCUGGGAACUGCCUUUGUGACUGCAAGGCUAGAGUACGGCAGAGGGGGGUGGAAUUCCGCGUGUAGCAGAGAAAUGCGUAGAUAUGCGGAGGAACACCGAUGGCGAAGGCAACCCCCUGGGCCUGUACUGACGCUCAUGCACGAAAGCGUGGGGAGCAAACA
rnacentral:rRNA from 1 species